rnacentral:tRNA from 1 species
GCGGAUAUAGCGGAUAUAGUUGAAUGGUAAAAUUUCUCCUUGCCAAGGAGAAGAUGCGGGUUCGAUUCCCGCUAUCCGCC